rnacentral:rRNA from 1 species
GUCGAACGCUGGCGGCGUGCUUAACACAUGCAAGUCGAACGGCGAGGCGCACGGGUGAGUAACACGUGGGUGAUCUGCCUUGCACUCUGGGAUAAGCUAGGGAAACUGGGUCCUAAACCGGAUUGUGCAAGAUGAGCUCGCGGCCUAUCAGCGUGUUGGUGGGGUAAUGGCCUACCCAUGCGUCGACGGGUAUCCGGCCUGUGAGGGUGUACGGCCACAUUGGGACUGGGAGGCGGCCCAGAUUCCGACGGGAGGCAGCAGUGGGGAAGAGUGCACAAUGGGCGGAAGUCUGAUGCAGCGACGCCGCGUGGGGUAUGACUGCCUUCGGGUUGUAAACGCCUUUCGACAGGGACGCGGUACCUGUAUAAGAAGCACCGGCUAACUACGUGCCAGCCGCCGCGGUAAUGC